ACGACCCCAGGACAAGUAUUAAAAGAAACUACUUCCACUUCAGCUGGAUCAGCCAAGAAACUGCUAUUUUCUUGUCCAAUUGUAAAUCUUCCAGGGAACUUGACAAUGAGGCAACCAUUAGGUAGGAUCCACCAAAUCUUCCCAGUAGCCCAGGCCCCACCUGUUUUACGAGGCCAUUCAAAUCGAGGGCUAAGAACAUUAGUUUUCAGUCUCACAAACUGACCAACAAAGUAUGAUUCAGCCAUUUGAAGCUCUGAAUAUUUUCCUUUCCAUAGAGUUUCCACACCUAUAAAUCCAACAGCCACACUUCCAUCACGAUUUAUGGAAUGAAGAAUGCCAACUGGCGAGUGCU
rnacentral:lncRNA from 1 species